rnacentral:rRNA from 1 species
AUACGAAGGGGGCUAGCGUUGCUCGGAAUUACUGGGCGUAAAGGGCGCGUAGGCGGACAGUUUAGUCAGAGGUGAAAGCCCAGGGCUCAACCUUGGAAUUGCCUUUGAUACUGGCUGUCUUGAGUUCGGGAGAGGUGAGUGGAAUGCCGAGUGUAGAGGUGAAAUUCGUAGAUAUUCGGCGGAACACCAGUGGCGAAGGCGACUCACUGGCCCGGUACUGACGCUGAGGUGCGAAAGCGUGGGGAGCAAACAGGAUUAGAAACCCCGGUAGUCC